AUGGCACCACAAGGGGUCGCAACUUCCYUAGGCUAAAUUCUUAUAAAGAGGAAGUUGGCGGCGCUGUGGGGAAGUGCCAAUUUUCUGUGGGUGUGUGACCAGGUGUGUGUGGGUCCACGCGUUCCCUUGUUCGGCGAUUGUGGGCCACACAUUUAGUGAUGUUCCGAGUGUGGCAUUGUCUGGGCGUGUGGCUGUUCGACGCUGCAGAUAGAGCUACGUUCAAUCCGUCGGAAUGUCAAGUGUUUUCAUAAGUGUUGGCUUAUGCAACGCAGCUUCAUCGUGCUGUAACCUGUGGCCGAACAGAAAAGCCAGACGCUCGACAGUGACAGCUCAGCAGAGUCCAGCACCCUGUCAUUUUGUUUCUCAGCCACACCGAGGGACCAGACAGAACCACAAAGUCACCCAUCAGCAGCUGUCAGCACCAACAAAACCACCUGACUUCACUCUCAGAUUAUCUACACUUCAGGUCAAGGUUGUCAUCAAAAUGAUAAGACCGUUUAAAAGUGAAUCAUUUAAGACAGUUAAUCAGUGGCGUCUCCACGAAUGUUUUAUUUGGGGG